rnacentral:rRNA from 1 species
UGGGGAAUAUUGGACAAUGGGCGCAAGCCUGAUCCAGCCAUGCCGCGUGAGUGAAGAAGGUUUUCGGAUCGUAAAACUCUGUUGGUAGAGAAGAACGUUGGUGAGAGUGGAAAGCUCAUCAAGUGACGGUAACUACCCAGAAAGGGACGGCUAACUACGUGCCAGCAGCCGCGGUAAUACGUAGGUCCCGAGCGUUGUCCGGAUUUAUUGGGCGUAAAGCGAGCGCAGGUGGUUUAUUAAGUCUGGUGUAAAAGGCAGUGGCUCAACCAUUGUAUGCAUUGGAAACUGGUAGACUUGAGUGCAGGAGAGGAGAGUGGAAUUCCAUGUGUAGCGGUGAAAUGCGUAGAUAUAUGGAGGAACACCGGUGGCGAAAGCGGCUCUCUGGCCUGUAACUGACACUGAGGCUCGAAAGCGUGGGGAGCAAACAGGAUUAGAUACCCGCGUAGUCCCUGAGCGGGCUGGCAAGGCGCAU